GGGGAGCUAAAUUUUAUUUUAGCUAGAACGCGAAAGCGCCAAUUACGUGCAACGGCUGACGACAAGUCGGGGGAGACCGACGUCACCUAGUUGUUGUUGUUGUGUUUGCACUUACACUAGCACACACACAAGCGAACACCCCGUGAGGGAGGGAGAAAUUCACGCAGAACAUGUUUUUGCAAUAGUUUUUGUGGAGAGGCGAGGCGUGCAAAUAAAUUAACACAAACGCGAAAUACUACAACAAUACAAAAAAAA
rnacentral:sRNA from 1 species